AUGGAGGCGGAUGACUGGGAGGAGUUACAGUUGAAAGCAGCCGGGACUAUACGGUUGUGUCUGUCGGACCAGGUUAUUUAUCAUGUGAUGGAUGAGAAUUCGCCGAAGAAGAUCUGGGAGAAGCUGGAAAGUCAGUUUAUGUCCAAGACUGCGACGACCAAGGUGUAUCUGAAGCAAAAGUUGUAUGGGAUGAGGAUGCAAGAGGGGUCGGAUCUUGUGGAGUAUAUGAACGCCUUUAAUCAAGUCGUGACGGAUCUAGCACGCUUGGGUGCGACGGUUGACGACGAGGAUAGGGCAAUUCUGCUUUUUUGUUCAUUGCCAUCAUCCUAUGACCAUUUGAUCACUACUUUGACGCACGGCAAAGAGACCGUCAAGAAUGAGGAUAUUACUGCGGCAUUGCUAUCUUAUGAUAUGAGAAAGAAGAACGCGGUGGAAGUCUCGCAUGGUGAAGGUUUGCUAGUCAAGGGUGAGCAGUGGCGGAAGGGAUAUGAGGCAGGGAAGAACAAGAAAAAGAAAAAGAAUAUACAGUGUCACAAGUGUAAGCAGUGGGGACAUAUGAGAAAGGACUGUCCAGAACUCAAUAGUGGGGAAAGUGCUAAUAAGGCAACACAUGGUGAUGACUCAGACAGCAGUAGUGAUGCCCUCAUAGUAUCAGACAGGCGGUCAACCAAAAGUGAAGCGUGGAUGUUGGAUUCAGCUUGCUCUUUUCAUGCGACACCUAACAGGGAGUGA
rnacentral:rRNA from 1 species